UCUCAGGCUGUGACCCUCUAAAGGGAAGCACUUUCUGUUACUUGAAAGAACAAAAGUCGCGUCCCUUUAGAGUGCUACCGUUUGAGA
rfam:Callithrix jacchus chromosome 22, whole genome shotgun sequence